rnacentral:rRNA from 1 species
GGGGGGGGGGGGGGGGGGGGGGAGGGGAGGCGGGUGGGGGGGAGGGGGCGGGGGUGGGUGGGGGGGGCGGGGGGCGGACGGGUGAGUGGCACGGGAGUGACGUGCCGGUGACGUUGGGAUAACUGCAGGGAACUGGGGCUAAUCGGGGGUAGGAGCUCCUGCUGCAUGGUGGGGGUGGGAAAGUGGCGGCGGGUGGGGAUGGACUCGAGGCUUAUCAGCUUGUUGGUGGGGUAGUGGCUUACCAAGGCUUUGACGGGUAGCCGGCCUGAGAGGGUGACCGGCCACAUUGGGCCUGAGAUACGGCCCAGACUCCUACGGGAGGCAGCAGUGGGGAAUAUUGCACAAUGGGCGGAAGCCUGAUGCAGCAACGCCGCGUGCGGGAUGACGGCCUUCGGGUUGUAAACCGCUUUCGCCUGUGACGAAGCGUGAGUGACGGUAAUGGGUAAAGAAGCACCGGCUAACUACGUG